UCAAUAAUAAAAGUGCAUAUACUAUAAUUGUAGUGGUACAGAAAAGAUUAGCAGGAUUCCUGUGCCAGGAUGAUAUACAAAUCCAUAAAAUCUUCAUACUGUU